UUACUUCAAUAUCCUCCUCUGCCUCAUCCUCCGUUUCUUCCUCCUCUUCCUCGAAUCAUCAUACGCUGGAUAAGUCUCCUCUGGAUAGCCUGUGUUAAAGGAGCAUGGAAAUAGUCAGCUUUACAUAAAUAAAAUGCUCGAGGUUUCACUGGAGGGGACCUCCUCAGCCUCCAUCUCAGGAGAGGCUCCCUCCAAACGGCCCUCCUGCAUCAGCAGUGUGAUCUGUCGGAGUUGCCUCAGGAGUUUUUCUUCCUUCUUUGAUGUUGAAGUUUUACUCUUUCGCUUUCUGCCACUAUAAAGCAGCACAAGUUAACUUGAGAAUCUCAGGCAACAUGACUAUUUAUUUUUUUUUUUUUUAGGUUUUUACAAAACUGCAGUAUAAGGUACACAAGCUGCAUUUUUUUUGCUGAUAAAUUCUUCAACAGUUUGGAUUUCCCAAAAGUGUGUUAUUUUAGAAAUAUCAAUUUUGUCUUCUGAGGCUCAUGGAGUGAAUGAUUACCCACUGAUUGUUUUUUUUUUUUUUUUUUACUGAAUAUUGCCAUAGAAAUGCACUGCUUACUGGCGCAGCAGCUCUGCUACUUUACAAGGAAUUUAUUCUUUUGAGAUUUUUUGCUCUUCAUUUUCUAGUUGAAAAUAUUACUACUUUUGAAGUUAUUUUCAUUCUCAGUUUUUGCUUUUUCUAUUUAGCCUAGUCUGCCAUCAAAUAAUAUGUUUCAGUCAUUUCCAAGAAGUUGGUUGUAAUUGUGACUAACGGAUGUUCUUGGGGAAAGAAGCUCCUUACCUUGAAG